AUAAUCACUGAUGGAUGGUUUAAUGUUGCUACAAGUGUAUUUUUCUCUUUGCAAUUCAUUUCUUACAGUUUUGGAUAAAGUUAAGAAAUUUGAGAAAAAGCAACAAGCAGGUAAUCUUUGUUUUUUCCUCUUACACUAAUUAAAACCACUGAAAUAAAAUCAUCCUCAAAUACUUUAAACAGAUAAACUUUUAGCAAAUGCAUUGUUUAUUUAAUUAACACCUGUGACAUCAACACAUUUUCAUUAAUGGCUAUUGCUUUUACUUGAAACUGUCACUAAUUUUAAUUUGUUGGUACGUCACAGCUUUUUUUUUCUUCAAAGUUAUAUUAAAUAGUAACCAAUUUAAAACAUGAAAACAAGCAUUUACAUGAAUAAAAUAAGUUAAAAACCAAACUAAGUUUUCAGCAGUCCUUGUUAAAAAAUUGUUUCUGAAUCCCAAUCCAGGUUUUUAUGUUGUUUAAUCUCCAGAAAGAAAUUCUUAUCUUUGUUUCAUUCUUUUGUUUUUCCAAUUUAGAAAAAAACAAAGAUGGAACUCAUGUGGUCACAAGAAAUCCUUCUUUUUUAAACAAUAAAGGACAACUGGAUAAGAAAGUCAAGAGUGGUCAAUUGGAAGAACAUACCGAGGCCACACAGCCUGAUCUGCAAACACAGAUUCCUUCUAAAGGACCAGAAUCAGAGAAAAUGGAGGAUGAAGAAGCAAAGUCUGCUGAUGAAAGUUCGACCCAGAUCAUACCGCACAAGCCACCUGCUGAAGAACAAAAGCAAGAUGUAAUCUCAGAUCAGGACACUGAAAAAACUAUAGAGGAAACUGAAAAGGAAAAAGAAGAAAAGAAAUCAGAUGGCAUGAGAGAAAAAGGAGAGCUACCAACAAGUUCUGGUCAGACAGGUGCAGAAACACCAUCAAUAAACUAA
rnacentral:lncRNA from 1 species